AGAGUUUGAUCCUGGCUCAGAAUCAACGCUGGCGCGUGCCUCAGACAUGCAAGUCGACGCGAAAAGCUCCCUUCGGGGAGCAAGUAGAGUGGCGCACCGGUGAGUAACACGUAGGUAAUCUACCUUUGGAUGGGGAAUAACAACCGGAAACGGUUGCUAAUACCGCAUAAUGCAGCGGCACCUAAUGGUGACAGUUGUUAAAGCGGGGGAUCGUAAGACCUCGCGUCUGAAGAGGAGCCUGCGGCAGAUUAGCUAGUUGGUAAGGUAACGGCUUACCAAGGCGAUGAUCUGUAGCCGGCCUGAGAGGGCGGUCGGCCACACUGACACUGACAUACGGGUCAGACUCCUACGGGAGGCAGCAGUCGGGAAUUUUGGGCAAUGGGCGAAAGCCUGACCCAGCAACGCCGCGUGAAGGAUGAAAUCCCUCGGGAUGUAAACUUCGCAAGAACGGGAAGAAUAAGUAAGAGUUAAUAUCUCUUACGAUGACG
rnacentral:rRNA from 1 species